UAUGCACAAAAAAAUCAGUCCUAGUUCUAGCCCAAUCAUUCUUCUGGACACCUGCACAGAGGAAAUGUCCAAUUAGUGCUAAGUCAGGCACAUGGGUCAUCAUCAGCCUUGCUGAACUUGACCUGCUGACCUAGCUGUGAGGUUCAUGCAAGUCUCAUAACAGCUUUUCAGUCCAUCACAUUCAGUGUUUGAAUAACUGAAACCUUAUUUUACUUUUCUUCUGAGUUCCUAUCUACUCAGCAUCAGCAUCCUUUUGUAGGAAUGAAAGAUAGUUUAGGAGUGAGAGAUGUCCUCCUAAAAUAAUUUAAGCAGAGAGUGAAAUGGAGUUGGAUGCAUGAAUCCAGAAUUGCUUCCACCUUCAGAAGGAGCAGAAGGCUUAACCAAUUUGUGUAUUAAGAGAAAGAAAACUCUUUAUACAUGAAGCUGCACCACACACGUACAAUCUCAGAGACAGGGCAAGAUUUCUGGUCUCUGGUUUUUAUUUAAUUCACAUGUGACCUCCUACUUUUGAGUCUUACAAUCAAUUAGACUGUAAGCUACCUAAGGGCAAAGACUUCUUACUCAUCUUUAAAUCCUCAACCCCAGGCUUAAUGCUGGCACUUGUCAUUCAGCAAAUAUUUUAUGAAUUAAUAAUUGCAGAUUUUGAGCCCAUAGCAAAGCAAAGAAUUGUCUCCCCAGGGAGCAUUCCUAACCACUUCCGGUUUGGUGCUGCCCAAUUUGGUUUAGCAAAUGAACUCUUAAAAUUUUUGAUAUGCCUCAGUUUCUUUUAACAGCUCAGGUGUCAGAAGAAGGAAUCCAAGGAGAUACCAAAUGGCCCCCAGGAGCUUGAACAGCCAUAUGUAGGUAUCUCUUGAGCUCCUUGAGCUUGCUGCUUUCUUGCUGUCUCUGAAAGUCAUGGAAUGAGACCUGAUGGGACAUCCAACUGGCUCCUGAGCCUGCAGAUGGAAUCCUGGGAAAUUGGCAGAAGCUGGCAAAGGCUAAGAAUUCUUGCCAAAGUCACCUCUCCCAGAUCUCUGUCUUUGGUACCAAGAUGAGAGAAGAAGAAAUACUGUGUGCUCCCUGAGGCUGAGACUGUUUCUAACUCAUCAUGGAUCUCCAGGGUUUGGCACAGAGGAAAGACUUCAUACAUAUUUGUUGAAUAAAUACACUUUUUUUUAAAUAGAAGGAUUUCUUACUUGUCCGUAAAGGAUGAAAUUAUGUAUUAGCCAUGUUUGCCUUUUGAAGACAAAUAUACAAGCCACUGUUCAUUUGGUUCAGUCAUUGUGCAAGGCCAACCUAUACAACUAAGACAAAGCUUUCAAUCUGACAUAGUUGAGUUGUCUGUUUAUCAUUUUAAAGGGAAUUAAAUGUCAGUUAUGCCUAAACUAUCUGCAUAAGUUGAUUGGAUAUGGAAGACUAUAACACAAAUCAGAUAAUCACACAUAUCCUUAUAUUAUUUUGCCAAUAUAGAAUCGAAUAUCUACUGCUAUA